rnacentral:rRNA from 1 species
CUGGGGUGGAUGAGUGGCGAACGGGUGAGUAACACGUGAGUAACCUUCCCUUGACUCUGGGAUAAGCCCGGGAAACUGGGUCUAAUACCGGAUAUGACCUCCUGUCGCAUGGUGGGGGGUGGAAAGAUUUAUCGGUCUUGGAUGGACUCGCGGCCUAUCAGCUUGUUGGUGAGGUAAUGGCUCACCAAGGCGACGACGGGUAGCCGGCCUGAGAGGGUGACCGGCCACACUGGGACUGAGACACGGCCCAGACUCCUACGGGAGGCAGCAGUGGGGAAUAUUGCACAAUGGGCGCAAGCCUGAUGCAGCGACGCCGCGUGAGGGAUGACGGCCUUCGGGUUGUAAACCUCUUUCAGUAGGGAAGAAGCCUUCGGGUGACGGUACCUGCAGAAGAAGCGCCGGCUAACUACGUGCCAGCAGCCGCGGUAAUACGUAGGGCGCGAGCGUUAUCCGGAAUUAUUGGGCGUAAAGAGCUCGUAGGCGGUUUGUCGCGUCUGCCGUGAAAGUCCGGGGCUUAACCCCGGAUCUGCGGUGGGUACGGGCAGACUAGAGUGCAGUAGGGGAGACCGGAAUUCCUGGUGUAGCGGUGAAAUGCGCAG